rnacentral:rRNA from 1 species
UUAAUUGAAGAGUUUGAUCAUGGCUCAGAUUGAACGCUGGCGGCAGGCCUAACACAUGCAAGUCGAGCGGUAACAUUUCAAAAGCUUGCUUUUGAAGAUGACGAGCGGCGGACGGGUGAGUAAUGCCUGGGAAUUUGCCCAUUUGUGGGGGAUAACAGUUGGAAACGACUGCUAAUACCGCAUACGCCCUACGGGGGAAAGCAGGGGACCUUCGGGCCUUGCGCUGAUGGAUAAGCCCAGGUGGGAUUAGCUAGUAGGUGAGGUAAUGGCUCACCUAGGCGACGAUCCCUAGCUGGUCUGAGAGGAUGAUCAGCCACACUGGGACU